UUAUGCCCAAAAUGCAAAUGAUGAUACUCACAGUUCGGCUUCUCCUUUUCCUCCUCCAUUCAGUAGCGAAGCAGUGAGACUUAACAUCUCCUCCUCCAUUCUUUUAAGAUUUGAGUGGAUAAGAAGAACGAAUCACCUCAAAAACGACAACAGCGAAACAGGAUUUAGCUGAUAGGAAGUUGUAACGCAGAAUGAGGCAAAAGCAAUAUCAGUAGCAGAUUUGAAGAAAGACACUAGACUAAAAGAAUGGACGUUGGUGCUAGUUUAGGAUUCCAAAUCUUGGAUCCACAGACUUAACAUCUCUUUCUACGCACAGCUCCGAGAAUCUCCAUGAGAUGAAGCUGAUAUCUUCCCCUUAUUAUUUGAUAUUGGUAGAAAUCAUGGGAACUUCGUGGUCAGCUUUAUAAAGGAGGUCAUUCAAGAGAUGGAGCCUUCCUGUGAAGGAGAAUUGUGUUUUGAUAGUGCAAAUGUAGCUGCAUUGUUGGUGUUAGCCAUCUCAGUACCUCUUUCACAUGAACAUAGUCCCUGCAACAUUCCACCAAGAAUUUUUUCCUAUGCACUUCCUUUUCUUGGAAGGAUCUCUCGCUCAUUGAAUGAUUCUAUAAAUUGAGAUGCCAUUUUAGCUUACUUGUUUCACUACAGUGGAUCCAUUCUACCUCUUGCCACAGAGUUGAACUUUUAGGGGAAAUGAGCUUGUCUUACCCGUUGCUGAAGGUGGUGGCCCAAGUCACAGUGAUCAUGAGGGAGCUAAUCCUCUAGAAGUUCUCUUGCAACAAAUCAGUAACUGUGGUAAUAGCUCUGAUGCUCAAUCUAU